rnacentral:lncRNA from 1 species
UCUCAAGAUCGUGCGAUCUCGCAGCUAACAAUCCAGCUGUCCAACAUCCUUCUAUAUAAACAACCAGAGUCAUAAGGAUCCAGAUAAGUCCAAUUCCUCUUAGAGAACCUGUUGCUACUUCUUUGUUCUCUGCUUGUCUGAUUUGAGCGUCGGAGGAUCCUCGUCGGAGCCACAACCUCUGAUUUGAAAUUUAUUUUGUAGGUCA